rnacentral:lncRNA from 1 species
UGGUGCUAAGAGUUUGAACUUGCAGGAUCUAGUAUGGUUCCCAGCACAAGUCACACUCCAGCGCCCCCACGAGCCAGCACAGUGCCUGCUCUCAGUGAAAGGCCACUGUUCUCCUUGGGUGACCCCCAUGAUGCCUGACCGCUCCUCGUGCCUCCUGGAACAGCCAGGGUCCUUAUGAAGUGGUGACCACUCCAGUCAGCAGGGGUGGAAAAUGGUACCAGUCAAACCCGAGGCGGAGGAGGAGCAGCCCGCAGUCGCUGCCGCGAGAUGGAGGAGCCCACGCCCGAGCCCGUCUAUGUCGACGUAGACAAAGGGCUGACCUUGGCCUGCUUCGUCUUCCUCUGCCUCUUCCUUGUCGUGAUGAUCAUCCGCUGUGCCAAGGUCAUCAUGGACCCUUACAGCGCCAUCCCCACAUCCACCUGGGAGGAGCAGCACCUGGACGACUGAGGCACAGCGGCUGUGGGGACUGGACCUGGCGCUCUGUGGGUGGCUGUGCCCCAGGAUGCAUCCGUGUGUUCCCUGCCAGCCUGCCAUCCCACAGAGGCAAGGAAUGAAUCUGGCCACCCAGGGAAACAGAAGGUGCAGCUUAGCCCUCUCAGCCCUCCCUCGAGCACCAGCGUGGAAUGCCCGGGUGCCGUGGGUGUCGCAACCAUGGACCAGCCAGGGGAAAAGAGCCCUGGACCAGGACCCAGGAGGCUGGGGUUCCAGUGUGGGGAGUCCCUGUGAGAUGAUAGGGUAGUCACCUUCCCAGGUUCCUGGGCACCUUUUGGAACUGGAUCCAGCAACAGACACCCCCCAUCCAUCACAUAACAGUGGUCUUGUCUUGAGGAGACUCUCGGUCCUUUAAAUGCAAAGUAGCAAUGGAGGCUCCCAACCAAGAGGUCCCACCUGAACCCCAGCCCCCUCCCCAUGGACUAGCAGUGGUGUGGCAGUGAGGGGGGAAAGCGGGUUGAGGGAGUCUCACCUGAAAAUUCACAAAACGCACAGGAUAUGGGCUGCUUCCAAGCAGUAUUUUUUUAAACUAAAAUAUAGAGGGAUAUAUUUUUCCUGUUAUAAAUAAAAUGUACAUUUUAGAAACUUGGGAAAAUGCAGAUAAAUAGAAAGAAAGGGGGAGGAAAUAACACUUAUAAUCCCACCUCCCGGAAACCACCAUUUUGAUAUAUUUUCUUCCAGCCUUUUUACUUGUAUUUUUUAGUCAAAUUCAUACUCUGUGCAUGAUGUUGUAUCGCCUCAUAUGAUAGCAGGAAUACUUCCCCAUUACAUCAAACACUCUUCUUAGCUGCCAGUUUUAGUGACCGAAGGGCAUCCCAUCGGUUGGGUAGGUCAUGGUUAAAAAAUCAUCUCCUUUGGUUGCAUAUUUAAUUAUUUUCCACUAUUUUUUCCUCACACAAAAUGAUUUCGCCCGGUACCCUUUUUGGGGGUGCACAGUCCAUGAGAUGAAUAUUGAAUGGGGAGACCUGGGUUCUAGUCUCGCAUUUACCAGUCAGGUUACAAUGCGACCUUGAGCAAGUCACUUCACCUCCCAGCGCCUCAGUUUCCUCAUUGUAAGAUAGGAAAAGCCUUGUCAUUUUUAAAAUUUUAUUUUUUGCAUAUACCUCAUGUGAACGAAAGGACAGAAAGGGGAGUGAAUAUACUAUGAAUGUGCUAUAGUCGGAGUUGGGGGGCAAGGAAGAAGUCAUCGAUGAUGGCUCUUCUCAGGCCCUCCCUCCUCCCACCUCUUUCUGCCCUCCACCCCACUCCCACUCCAUCACCUACAUCUAUGACCUUGCAGCAAAAUCAUUAGAGCAGAGCCUACAAAACCGGCCCCAAGUCCCAAUUCCUCUACUUCCUUGUUAGAGGACCCCAAAUAACUCACUCAGCCUCUCUGAGCCCCAAUUUCCUCACCUGUAAAGUGAGGGAAUAACAUCUACCUCGCAAGGUUGUUGUGAGGACGAAAUGAGAGAACAUGGGCAAACAUGAAUGUUCUUGAAUUCACCACCCCAGGAGAAGCCAGGGGUCUGAGCUGGGAGGAGCAGAGGUUCUGGGUGCCCCCUGCCCCUACAGAGCCUGGCACCUUCAGCUUUUCUCAACUUCUGAGGGCUGCUUCCUACAGGCCAAAUCUCCCAGCCGGAACCACUUGGUCAGAGGAACACUCACAGCAGCCUUUCCCAGCACCUGACCUCAAGGGAUAUGGCGUCUACCAAUUUACAUAAUUGCCUUUGUCAUCAGUUUUCCCAUAACAUGGUACGAAGUUAAAUGAGAGCACCUGAGCUCCCCUUCCUCUGAGUGCAUUUAUUCCAUCCCUCCAAGCUGUGGCCUUCCAUCCCCAUCCAAGAGACCUGCAGCUGUGAAGAAGCUCAAGACUUCUUUCUCAUUGCCUGCCUCCCAGCCAUUAGUCCCCACCACAGCCCAGGCCACCUGGAAAAUGGGUUCCAAAGCACUAUCACUACUAGGUGACCCCUGAAUGUGGACAAGGCCACAGCUCUUCAGGCAGCAUUUCAGGGGCUAUCCAGUUGUCAUCCCUCUCAUACCCCUCUCCUACCCACCCCUAUCCCCACUAUUGUGGAAUGCACGAAGGGACAGCUGGCAAAGGCAGUGAACCAAGAUGCAGGGAAGGCCCUGUAUGAUGGGGAGGAUCUAAAGCAAAAGCCUUUUGUGCAUUGCCUCAGGUUCAGCAGCAGCAGCCCUCACUCUGAAGCCUACCUUGAGAAGCCAGGCAUUUCUGUGAAAAGCUCAUCAGCAUGCAUUUACAAUGCAAACUAGAACCAACUCCCAGUCAGCUAAUAACAGACCCCAGGAAAAAGAAAAGGUCUUCCAGACCUCCCCGACACACUUUAGAACCCUCAGGGGUGAAAAAGAGGGUGCUCCAGGGCAGUGCAACUUAAACUGUGGUUGAAGGACAAACAGCCUCUGCAAUACUUGAGGAGCUUGUUAGAAACCCAAACUCACAGCCCCCUCCAGACCUACGUACAGAAUGUAUAUUAGCAAGAUUCGCUAGGUGGUUUAUGUGCACGUUAAAGUUUAAGAAGCACUGCCUGAGAAUCCCUUGGUCCUAAUUAAUUCUUUUCCACACUCAGAUUUGCUAAUGGGUUUCACCUUAUCUCUUGACUCUUGUUUGAUGGCAACAGGAAAUAGUAGCAUUUCAGGAAGGGUGGAAAAUAUAAAAAGCACUCCCAACCCAAGCCUCCAAAAAACAGCAAUUUUCAUUUUGUGUCCAUAUAUUCCCUUCUAAUCAUUGUCCUCAUGCAAGAUUUUUUUUCAUAAAGAUGAUCUGCUACAUAAUUUUAUAUCAUACUCUUUCUCCUAACAUUACAUCACAAGUAUACUUUCAUGUUGCUGCUACAUUCUUCACACUUGUCAUUUUAAUGGCCAUAAAACAUGACAUCUAGUGCACAUAUAUAAUUAUGUAGACUCCUAUUAUUAAAUAUUUGGAUUUCUUCCAUUUUCCCUGUUGUACAUGUUCCAAGCAAAAAAAGAAAGAUCAAGAUAGAUAUGAUGAAGCCGGGGAGCUUGCUUAAGACAGGGGAGAAUAAAUACUUACAGUACACUCUCUCCAUUUAAGAGACACAUGGAGCACAUGGGGGAGGGAGACCUGUCUAAGAACUGGAUCAUAUUAAGGAGAAAAAAGCAACUGGAAUCUCAGGCUUCAGUUGUUGCAUUAUGCUGCUGAAGCAUAGAGGAGAUGGUCCUUUGUGAUCAGAGCGUCUCAACUCGUUUCUGGCAAGCUAAGAUGAACUUUGGGGUUGUGGAUAGAAAGAUAAACUGAUCUGCAAAAGAAAUGCACAGAAGUAUUGAAGGCUAGAAGUUGGCAGACAAGAAAUGAAAAGCAUUUAGAGAAUGGGAGGCCUGUGAAGGUAGCCACAACCCAGGACUUAAGGAGAACACAGGCUGGAGAGGAACUCUCCAAAGCAGAGAAUGGGUGGUGGGUUUUCCAGGCAAUGGUGCCUAGUGGCCAGUUUUAAGUUGUUGCUUGUACUGUGCUCAGCUACACUCCCUUCAUGUUGCCCCAAGCCCUCUCUAAAGUCUGAUAAAUGAUCCACCACUCUGCAGCAGUGGUCUUUGGGACAAUGAAGACACCUCGGUGGUGGGUCACUUAGGGAAAUACAAUCUGGAAGGGGCCAACAGUCCCAGAGACAAGUGGGGUAGCAGAAAUAUGCAGAACCAAGAGUUCAGAGUGAUGGUCACUAGAAGAAAUGUGGCCUCUAAGGAUGCUCAGACAGGUGGAUAUGUAUAGUAGGACCCUAGCUUUACCAUCCUGGCAUAUCAUUCCCAUCAUAGCUAUUUCAUUUUUUUCCAAUUAGUUGCUGAAAUGUCUACAUGUUCUUAUCGAGUUGAAAGAUCAGUGUCUCCCUGUCUCAUUAAAUUUCCAGAACUUCAGAGGCUAAAUCAAUCCAAAAGGGGCUGGCCCUGCUUUCAAACACCAAGUGAAGAGAACUACAAAGUUUGGUGUGUCCACUAGUGUGGUUUCAUACCCCCUAGGUCUUGCUGUUGAGGACUGGUUCUGCCAGGCAUGAUCAAUGACCACCCACAAUGUCCUGUGGCCCAGCCUGUGGAGAGGUGCCCAAACAGAGUUAUCUGGGUCCACAUCCAUGUGCCCAGCUAUUCUGUCCAAUCAUAGCACAAAGACAGGUUGCCUGUGUCCAGAGGGACACACAGCCUCAGGCACACCAGCCCUUACUUAUGAGCUUGAUGGUCAUCAGCAAAGACUCUCUCCCUUUAGGAGGGUUCUCCUUGGGACUUUUCAGUGUCUUGGCAGGAAAGAGAUGGCACACACGAAGCACUGAUUGAAGACAGUUUAAUGAAAGAAUAUUUACAGAGGUUGGGCAAGGGUAUGGAAAACAACAGGGAACAGUAAAACACCCAGGGAUGACAAGGCAAGGUAGCUCAUGUCUGUAAUCUCAGCACUUUGGGAGGCCAACACAGGCAGAUUGCUUGAGCCCAGGAGUUUGAAACCAGCCUGGCAACAUAAGCAAGAAUCUGUUUAUCUACAAAAAAUAAAAUAAUUAAAAAAAAAUUACCUGGCUGUGGUGUUGCACACCUAUAGUCCCAGCUACUCAGGAGUCUGAGGUGGGAGGAUCACUUGAGUCCAGGAGUUUGAGGUUACAAUGAGCUAGGAUCACACUACUGCACUCCAGCCUAGGCGACAAAGAGAGAUGCUGUCUCUAAAAAUAAAAAACAAAAACAAACUACCCAGGAACAGGCAGGCCACCAACUGUUACCAUCUCUUGCCUAGAGAGACAAGGAGAAGGAUCUAGAACCCAGGGAGAGCUAUAGCCAUGGAGAAGGAGUCACCCAAUGGAAGCCCUGGCCACAGCUAGAGGAUCAAAACUCCUGCACCCACUGCAGCUCAGUAGGAAGAGAGCUGGGGGAAUAAAUACCUUGACCUCUUGCCUCCUGCCCUCCAAUCUCCUGUCUGGGUCUUCCAUUGGCCAAAAACAACAGAAGCUAAAGGUCAGGGGACCCUGGGUGAUACGGUCCACAUAGGCAGCACACUGGAGCAAAAGAAGAAAAACCAGCACAAUUCAUCUUAUUACCACUUAGCAGCCAUUCACAAACUUUGCUUAGAUGGGAGAAAAAUAUUUUGUCCCCGGCACAGGGGAAACAUAAAAUCUCACCAGCAGCCAUAUUGUCUGGGGGUGAUAGCAAUUUAGUCCCACUCCCUCCUGCAACUUAAAUCAUAAUGUAGCCAGUCCCGGGUAAGUGGAACACUUCCUGUAAAGCACAACUGCUAGUGCCCCCUUCUGUGGCUGGUCAUGAGGCCCAGAGUGGUAACUGCAGUCUUGUUCUCCCACCACCCAUUCCAUAGCCCCUCUACUUUCUGGCAGUCCCUUAGCUGUUGGAGAAUUUUAUCUGGUGGAAUGACCCAAAUCUUCAUCCACAGAGGAUUCAAAUUCUUAGUGCCGUGUCUUCAAUGAGUUGCCACAGUAUCCACAGAUUCCUAAAGAACAUGAAGAGGCCUUGAAGAUCUCACCUGGAAGCUCUGUAAAAUUAUCAGAAAGAAUAGCAGGUGCUCUAGGGCAACACUACUCAAACUAUGGUCCACGGAUGGACAGCAUUGGCAUCUCUGGGGAGCUUGUUAGAAAUCUAAUUUCAUGCCCCCACCUCAGGCUUACAGAAUGAGGACAAGGGAUACAGGGAGUACCAAGUGCCCUAGCGAAUCCCAGGGUUCCAAAGCUAGUACUCCUUGCCCCUAUUGUGUAGCAGAAACCCCACUUUCCCUUGGAUAUUGGGGUUAACCAUCCUGACAGUGCAGUGAUCUCUUUCUCUGCCAAUAUUUCAACAUAAGGAGCCCCAGAUGGCACAAGAUCAUCUUCCAAUUUAACAGACCCAUAACUAUAUUCCCUGGUGGAAGCAGUUCCUCUUGGUCACUAGAGAUUUCCAAACCCACAAAACCUAAGGUUUCUUGGUUAAAGGCCAUGUUUGUGGGAUAUGCUGAGAUGAAUAUGCUGUGGUUUGAAUGUGUCCCCCAAAGUUCAUAUGUUGGAAACUUGAUUCCCAUUGCAACAGUGUUGAGAUCUGGGGCCCAAUGAGAGGUGAUUAGGCCAUGAGGGCGGAGUGAAUGGAUUAAUGCAGUUAUCUCAAGAGUGGGUUUGUUAUGAAGGGGGUGUUUGGUCCUCUUUUCUCUCUUGCCCAUGUGAUUCCUUCCACCAUGUUUAUGAUGCAACAAGAAGGUCCUCACCAGAUGCUGGUUCCUUGAUCUUGUAUUUUGCAGCCUCCAAAAUCGUGAGCCAAAUAAAUUUCUAUUCAUUAUAAAUUAC